rnacentral:rRNA from 1 species
UACGGAGGGUGCGAGCGUUGUCCGGAAUCAUUGGGCGUAAAGAGCGCGUAGGCGGUCCGGUAAGUCGGUUGUGAAAGUCGGGGGCUCAACCCUCGGAUGCCGAUCGAUACUGUCGGGCUAGAGUCCGGAAGAGGCGAGUGGAAUUCCUGGUGUAGCGGUGAAAUGCGCAGAUAUCAGGAGGAACACCAAUGGCGAAGGCAGCUCGCUGGGACGGUACUGACGCUGAGGCGCGAAAGCGUGGGGAGCAAACAGG